GCUUGUCUCAAAGAUUAAGCCAUGCAUGUCUAAGUGUAAAUAAGUCUAUACUGUGAAACUGCGAAUGGCUCAUUAAAUCAGUUAUCGUUUAUUUGAUGAUCUCUUACUACUUGGAUAACCGUAGUAAUUCUAGAGCUAAUACAUGCACAAAAUCCCGACUUACGAAGGGAUGUAUUUAUUAGAUACAAAACCAAUGCCCUUCGGGGCUCCUUGGUGAUUCAUGAUAACUAUACGAAUCGCACGGCCUUGCGCCGGCGAUGGUUCAUUCAAAUUUCUUCCCUAUCAACUUUCGAUGUUUGGGUAUUGGCCAAACAUGGUUGCAACGGGUAACGGAGGGUUAGGGCUCGACCCCGGAGAAGGAGCCUGAGAAACGGCUACUACAUCCAAGGAAGGCAGCAGG
rnacentral:rRNA from 1 species